ACACACACUCACACAUAAACGUGCACACACACACACACACACACAUAUAGAGACUGAUAGAUAGAUAGACACAGAUAUAGCUAUUCAUAUAUACACACACGUGUGUUUAUGUGUGUGUGUGUGUGUGCAUCUGUAAUCUAUAUAUGCAUAUCUAUCCCGCUGUUUAUCUAUAUGUACACAUACACACACACACACACACACACACACUCACACACACACACAUACACACACAUACACACACACACACACGAAAAAAACGAAUUAUAUAGAUGUAAAAAAAAUCCUAAUCCUCUCUGCUGAGAAGAUUUACCAAGUCGCUUCUUCGUCAAACGCCGCUGCAUGGAUUGUGCAUGGUGGAGAGAGCAGGGCAGCUCAUGGCAUCGAUAGAGGAAAGGGCAGAACAGAGCACUUUAAGCAUGGAAACUGUCAUUUUCAGGCACGUUUCAGUCAUUCAACUACUGCCGCUGAUAAAUGGAUGCCCGUGGGAACAAGAUUUAUUAUUUAUUAUUUAUUAUUGUUCAAAAGUAUGAGAUUUGUCGUUUAUUUUUAUAUCAUUACACUCCCUGUUGUUUGAAGCCAUUUAUCCAUAUGAUCCCUACAUUCCAAAACAUUAACAAAUCAUCAAAACUUUUCACUCCUGGAUUCACAAACCGCUGAUUCAUACCCUCACAUCAUCAUCAUUAUAUCGUUCAAAUUAAAAGAUAGAAUAUCAUCAUACAAAUUCAUAUAAAUAUAUAUAUUCAACUAUACAAAAAAUACGAAAUGCACCUGCCAUAAUAUUUUGUUCUUACCCAACGUAAAGUCUUUGUCUUCUGCAUUGUCAUAUACAGGGCAAUGACUCGUUGGUAACCUGCCUAACUAUGUGAUAAUCACUUUUCUUUUGUAAAGAAAAGAAUAUUGUGAUAUUUCAGUGUUAAUAGUUAGGUAAGGCAAUAAAGCAUUUUUGAAAAUU